CAGCAUAUGUUGUGUUUUGGAUGCUGAUGUGCUGGUCAGCAGCAGAAACAGCAGAGCAUCGCUGUCCAUAAAAACAUCUCCACUUUCGAACAUGAUACAAACAAUAUAAACGCAUCAUGAUGAAGGCCCUUUAAUAAGUACUGAGGGGCGGUCAGUGUGCUGUGGUUUCCUUCACUGUGGAGUCAUUUCUCUGUUAAUGCCUGUCUGAUGCCCGUAUGCCAGCUGCACGGAGCGGCCAUAACCACCGUCGAAGGGAUCGGCAGCACCAAAACCAGGUUACACCCUGUACAGGAGCGUAUAGCGAAGGCUAACGGCUCUCAGUGCGGCUUCUGUACUCCUGGGAUGGUGAUGUCCAUGUACACACUGCUGAGGAACAAACCAAAGCCCACCAUGGAGGAGAUCAGAGAGACUCUGGGGGGUAACCUGUGCAGGUGUACAGGAUAUCGGCCCAUUAUCGACGGCUAUCGGACCUUCUGUGAGAGUGAAAACUGUUGCCAGGUGAACGGCAGCGCCUGCUGCACAGCCAAUGGAAACAGACCUUUGGAACCUGCGGAGAAUGGUCAGACGGGGCCGUCUGGUAAUGAGGAGUUUCUACCUCUGGACCCCACACAGGAGCUCAUCUUCCCCCCAGAGCUGAUAAGAAUGGCCGAGUCGGAGGAGCGAACCACUCAGACGUUUCGGGGGGAGAGGAUGACCUGGAUCUCCCCCGUCUCUCUGGAUGAGCUGCUCCAGCUGAAGAGUCAACACCCACAAGCCCCCAUCGUCAUGGGCAACACUAAUCUAGGGCUGGACAUAAAGUUUAAAGGAGUCGUCCAUCCCAUAAUAAUAUCAGCCUUUCGUGUGCGGGAGCUGUUUGAGGUCACAGAGAAACCGGAAGGUGUGUGUAUUGGAGCGGGCUGUAGUCUGUCCACCGUGCGGAGUGUGUUGGAGAAGUGUGUGUGUUCUCUCCCUGCUGAACACACACAGACACACGCAGCGCUGCUGGAGCAGCUGAGCCGCGUCGCAGGAGAGCAGAUCCGCAACGUAGCUACUCUGGGUGGUAACAUCGCGAGCGCGUAUCCAAACUCAGAUCUGAACCCUGUUCUAGCUGCUGGAAGAUGCUCCGUAGUGCUGCUGUCCAGAGAGGGAAAACGGGAAGUUCCUCUGAAUAAGGAUUUCUUUGUUGGUUUUGGAAAGACGAUUCUGAAACCAGACGAGAUUGUGCUGUCCGUUUUCAUCCCAGUGUCCAGAAAGGGGGAGGUCAUUCGGGCGUUCCGUCACGCUCCCCGUAAGGAGAACGCUCUGGCCACUGUGAACGCUGGGAUGCGCGUGUGGUUUAAAGAGGGUUCGAAUGUAGUGAAGGAGAUGAGUGUUUAUUACGGAGGAGUGGGACCCUGCACGGUCAGCGCAGAGAAGACCGUCCAGCAGGUCAUCGGCAGGCCGUGGAACGAGUCGACGUUGAGUGACGCGUACAGGGCUCUCGUUGAUGAGGUCACUCUAGGGGCUUCUGCUCCGGGGGGUAAAGUGAUGUUCCGCAGGUCUUUGACCCUCAGCCUGUUCUUCAGGUUCUACCUGCAUGUCCUGCAGCACCUCAAAGACACGAAUGUGAGCGAGGGGGAGAUUCCCUCAGAGCAGCUCAGUGCUGUGGAGCAUCUGCCCAACAUCAUCCAGCCCAGCUACCACGAGUUCCAGGAUGUGCUGAGUGGUCAGUCGGAGCAGGACCCCGUGGGCCGGGCGGUUCAGCACCAGUCGGCUCUGUCACACGCCACAGGAGAGGCUGUGUACUGUGAUGAUUUUCCACACACGCAGGGAGAGCUCUUCAUGUCUGUGGUCACCAGCACCAGAGCGCACGCCAAAAUCACCCACAUUGACGUGAGCGGAGCUCUGAGCAUGCCCGGCGUCGUGGACGUCUUCACCGCUGAUGAUAUUCCAGGCAAGAAGUUCAGGUCCUUCGCUGGGAUCGACGAGGAGAUUCUGGCUCUAGGCGAGGUGACCUGCGUGGGUCAGAUGGUUUGUGCGGUCGUCGCGGAUACAAAGCAGCACGCCAAACUAGCGGCUGCAGCGCUGAAGGUCAACUAUGAGGACCUACCGGACCGAAUCUUCACUGUAGAGGAAGCUGUGGAGAAGCGUUCGUUCUUUCUGCCUCAGAGGGAGAUUCAGAGAGGAGACGUGACCAAAGCUUUUCAGGAGGCGGAUCAUGUUUAUGAAGGAGAGAUCCGUCUGGGGGGUCAGGAGCAUUUCUACAUGGAAACGCAAAGCAUGCUGGUCAUUCCACUAGGGGAGGAAAAGGAGAUGAAAGUUUAUGUGUCCACUCAGCACCCAGCAAUGGUCCAGGAGGCUAUAGCAGAGACGUUGGGUAUUCCGUCCAAUCGCGUGUCUUGCCAUGUUAAACGGAUUGGUGGGGCGUUUGGUGGCAAAGUGACCAAAACGUCCAUUCUGGCCAGCAUCACUGCGUUGGCUGCUUGGAGGACGGAGAGGCCUGUGCGGUGUGUGCUGGAGAGAGGGGAGGACAUGCUCAUAACAGGAGCUCGUCACCCAGUUCUGGGGAAAUACAAGGUGGGCUUUAUGAAUGACGGCAGAAUCACUGCAGCUGACGUUCAUUACUACACCAACGCAGGAAACACGGCCGACGAGUCUGUUCUGGUCAUUGAGAAGAUCCUGCUCCACAUGGAUAACGCCUAUAACAUCCUGAACCUCCGUGGCCAAUCAGCUGCCUGCAAGACCAACCUGCCGUCCAACACCGCAUUCCGAGGUUUCGGUGUGCCCCAGACCCUGAUGGUUAUCGAGAACAUGAUCAAUGACGUGGCCAUGGCGCUCGGCCGACCAGCUGAAGAGAUCAGGGAGAAGAACAUGUAUAAGGAAGCGUCACUCACACACUAUAAGAUGGAGUUUGAUCCGGAGAAUCUGCUGCGCUGCUGGGAGGAGUGUAAGGAGAGGAGUGAGCUGGACCGCAGACGUCUGGACAUCGCCCGGUUUAACCAGCAGAACCGCUGGAAGAAGAGAGGAAUCGCUUUGGUCCCCAUUAAAUACGGCAUCGGCUUCGCUGAGGGAUUCCUCAACCAGGCGGCUGCACUGGUGCAUAUCUACAAAGAUGGAUCAGUGUUAGUGAGUCAUGGAGGAACUGAGAUGGGUCAAGGCAUCCACACCAAGGUCCAGCAGGUGGCCAGCAGAGAGCUGGACGUUCCUCUGUCUAUGAUCCACAUUUCUGAGACCAGCACGAGCUCCGUACCCAACACCUGUCCCUCUGCUGCAUCCUUCGGCACCGACGCCAACGGCAUGGCUGUCAAGGACGCCUGUCAAACUCUGUAUAAAAGGCUGGAGCCAAUCAGGAAGCAGGACCCCAACGGCACGUGGCAAAGCUGGAUUGCUAAAGCGUUCUUGGAGAAGAUCAGUCUGUCAGCUACUGGAUUCUACAGAGGUCAUGACCUGUGUAUGGACUGGGAGAAGCAGGAGGGAAGGCCUUACGCUUAUUUCACCUACGCCACCUGCUGCAGUGAGGUGGAGCUGGACUGUCUGACCGGAGAAUACAGGACUGUAAGAACAGACCUCGUUGCCGAUAUCGGCCAGAGCAUCAACCCAUCCAUCGACAUCGGACAGAUUGAAGGUGCGUUCAUGCAGGGUCUGGGGCUCUACACUAUGGAGGAGCUGAAGUUCUCCCCAUCUGGAGUUUUGUACACCCGCGGUCCGGGUCAGUAUAAGAUCCCUGCGGUCUGCGACGUCCCGCUGCAGUUUAACGUGUGCCUGCUGGCCGGAUCCCACAACCCGCACGCCAUCUACUCCUCGAAAGGUACGUCCACUGUUCUGUACACCCAUGAGCCAUAACAUCAUGACCACCUGCCUAAUAUGCUGUGACAGCUCUGACCUGCCGAGGCAUGGACUCCACAAGACCUCUGAAGACUUUAGCAGAAAGUCCUUUUAAGUUCUGUAAGGGUGAGGUGGAGCUGCCACGGAUCGGAUUUGUUCCAGGACAUCCCACAGAUGCUGGAUCGGAUUGAGAUCUGGGGAAUUUGGAGGCCAGGACAACACCAUGAACUCUUCGUCAUGUUCCUCAAACCGUUCCUGAAUGAUGUAUGCAGUGUAGCAAUGAUCUUUGAUGCAGGUGCCAUGUCAAAUUGAUAUCCACAUGAUGGUUAACAGGGGUCAUUAUGGGCACUCUGACCACUCUGCAGCUAUGCUGCACAGACACAUUCCUCCCAUAACCAUUAUUGAACAUUUCUGUGGCUUGUGCCGCAGUAGCUCUUCUGUCGGUUCUGACCAGUCUGGACAGCCUUUGUCGCCCACGAGCCUUGAUAAGCCUUGGGCACUCAGCACCCUCUCACUGGUUUGUGGUUUGUAGGAUCUCAGUGCUGCUGACCGGGAGUGCUCAACAAGCCUUGCCGUUUCGGAGAUGCUCCAUCCCAGUCAAUCUGGCCAUAAUGAUCUGGUCCUUAAUCAACACUGUUCAUGUCUUCUAUGAGUGCUCGUCCUGUUUUGGCCGCUCAGUGUAGUCCGGCUGUUUUGCAGAGUUGUUUACUGUUGUUUACUCUUUGUUUCAGGGUGUUGGUGAGCCCACUGUGUUUCUGGGCAGCUCCGUGUUCUUUGCGCUGAAGGAGGCGGUGGCAGCGGCUCGGAGCGACGCGGGACUGAGCGGCCCGUUCACUUUACACAGCCCGGCUACACCUGACCGGGCCUGCGUCGCGUGCAGCACACGCUUCACACAGAUGAUUCCGAAAACAGAAACAGAAACGUCCCGGCCGUGGGCUCUGGAGCUGCCAUGAUCUGCCCAAAAGUCUGACCGGUCUGCUAUACAAUCACUUUUAAAGAUGCCUUUAAAUGUGUAACAUGAUUACAGAUAAAGACUUUUAUUAAAGUCAAAGUCAUAUUAAUUAACCUUUAAUAAUAAUUAACACUCAAUGCAUUCAGACUUCAUGUUUAGCCUAAAAAUAACAUUUCAACCCAAAAUUAACUGAAAAUAACUUGUAAAACCAUUAAGAAUCCUGGGAAGCUCAGCCUUCUCUACUAAACCAGCACACUUGAUUUGUUGACUUCAGUAUUAGUGUUGAAUAUGUUUAAAUUUUCUAUUUUCUACACAAUUAAUUUUCUACUUUGGCCUUUACAGUGUAAUAUUUCUUUAAUUGUAAUUACUAAACAUUAGUUUGAUAUCAGGCACAAUCUGUCAUCAUUCAAGAUCUGACUGUUUUGUAACUAAUAAGAUAUGUUUCAUAAUAAACACUCUUUAGGCACUUCA